rnacentral:rRNA from 1 species
UACAGAGGGUGCAAACGUUGCUCGGAUUUACUGGGCGUAAAGCGCAUGUAGGCGGGAAUCUAAGUCGGGUGUGAAAUCCCUGGGCUCAACCUAGGAACUGCAUCCGAAACUGGGUUUCUCGAGUGGUGGAGAGGAAAGCGGAAUUCCGGGUGUAGAGGUGAAAUUCGUAGAUAUCCGGAGGAACACCAGUGGCGAAGGCGGCUUUCUGGACACCAACUGACGCUGAGAUGCGAAAGCGUGGGGAGCAAACAGG